rnacentral:lncRNA from 1 species
GAGCUCUGCCUCCUCUGCUGGUGAUGAGAGGUUGGUGGACUCCGUGCUCAGGUCCUGGGGCACCGAGCCGUCCCGAGCCCCUCCCUCCCUCCGUCACCCCCUCCCUCACAGCUAUUGGCUUCUUGAGAAAUUCGCGACGAUGUGGUCAACCUCAGAAGCCUCGUGCUGGAUCAAGUCCCUACUUUCAUUGAUACAGGUUUGAUCUGACCUUCCACUGUCCCUCCUAUUUAGGGACAUCCCACGUGCUCCUUUGCCCCAUUAUCUUUUCUCUCUCUCAGUUGAGCUUCAUCCUGCUCCUCAUGAAGUUGAGAUCCUCCCGAGGUCGCCGUGGCUGGCGGUGGUCUCACAGAAUCUUUAUGCUAUUUUCCUAACUCUCCAGGAGGCUUGGCGAGCACCUCCCAGCUCCCAGCUGCCCUCCUCUUUCCCCAGAUGGGCCUCCUCGGGGCGGAGGAGGUGUUGUUUCCAUUUCCCACAGAUCACCUAGAAACUUGGAUCUCUUUCAUUAGAACCAUGGGCUUUACGAGGCCCUUACCUUUGGGUCCAACUGAUGGAGCUCUCGGAGCGACGCUGCGGGAGAAGGUCCUUCUGCACCAGGAUACCUCUCUCCUCCGGAUCCCUCCCUCCCUCACCGCAUCCCGGCUCUCCUUCAGCCUCUGCUGAGGGGGCGUUUGGUGGCCCUGCGAGGCUCCUGUCUCCUGCCUCCCUCCCCUGCGCGUGGGUGUAUCCCCUCGGCUCUGAGCUGUCACCUGUGCCACUGGGAGAUGCCUUUCCGUUUAUUAGGAAGUUACUUGUUGACGGUUUAGCUGGCUGCACACGCUGUGCUCGGUCUCCUGACGCCUUCUCUCCUGUAUUUAUUUCCCUGGGCUCUUUCUCUUUUGCCUGCGGAUCACGUUGUCUUUGACCAUUUUUCCCAGUAUCUUGGAGGCACGUGCCCUGUUUUUAUUGCAGUAAUAGUUACCUUUAAGCAUCUAAAGUAUGUCUUCCACUGUUCUGUUCUUCUAUUGUUUUAACAAAUCCCUACCCUCUUAUUUCUGCCAUUAUCGACAUCGAGAAGAAUAAUAUCCACUGUAUUCCUUUCAUAUAGCACAAAGGAAACGCAAGUUAGAAAUGCUUUUGGUGAAAAUCAAAUAAAGCACAGAAGCUUUACUCAAUGUGGCCUAAACAACUCAUUGUUUAUUUUUGUAAAACGACGAGAAC